GCGGCUCGUUGAGGUGCUAGCGGAGCUAAAGCGGCCACAGGCACGGGCGCGUGCUGCUGAGCUGCAGCGCCGACUCGAGCAUACCUACAGCAAGCGCCACCGCCACGUCGAGGUGGCGCGCGGCCGAGUCCACGAGAUCGGCGAGCGCCUACAGGAGGGCGAAGCUGCAGCAGCCGCCACCGCCACCGCUCCCUACAAGCUCGACCCUGAUCGCUCUGCAGCCACUUCGGCCUGUCUUCCUAGGUGUGUCUCUUCAUUUUUCUUUUCCUUCUGAUUUGGCAAUGAACAAUGAAAAGCUGAUAUCUUAAAUUUAAGUAUGGUGUACUAAAUCAUUUGUCCAUGAGGUGGUAAAAGCUCGGACAAGGUGUGCUGAAGCAACUGCAGCAAGGAACAAAGAAUCAUGGGAUUUAAAGAGCAAUGCUGAGAAGAUUGAAGCAGCUGCCAAGAAGAAAGAUGAAGGCAAUGCUACGUUUAAGAUGGGCAAGUACGCCAAGGCUUCCAAGAGACAUGAGAAGGUAAUUGACAACAUGCUACGUUCAAUGAAUUGCCUUCGUAGCCUACAGAACUGACAUCUACAGGAAUCAUUGAUGUUUGGAGGUCAUGUUAGCCUACAUUUGCAUAGAUGAGUUAUUUGUUCACUUACGCCAAACCUACAUGUUUACCUAAUUUAACAUUUUGUGGAAGGAUCACUAUGCCAACAAGAGACAUAUUUAAUUGCAAUCUCUUCAAUUUACUGAUUUAUUUUCGGUACAAUAUCCUUUAUAAUGAGUUUUUUGUCCUGGUUAGGUAUACUACCUGAUUAUAUUGCUUUUGUUACCAUGCUAAGCAAGUUCAUUCUGAGCUGACAUCACUGUAUAAACAGGUAUAUGGGUAGGCUAUCUGUUACUACUUUCAUUGUUGAUUAGUUGAAUUGAUGUAUGUUUCAGAGCUUUGGGAAUUGAUUUAGCAUGGAUUGAUUGUGGGAAAGUGUAAUGUUAUUUUUAGCUCAAUUUCUCCAUGAUACUUUGUAAACAUUUUGACACUACAGAAUGAGUUCCUGGAGAUUCUGUUGGUUUCAAGGAUCUAUUAUGGUACUGCUAA